UACGUAGGGGGCAAGCGUUGUCCGGAUUUACUGGGCGUAAAGCGCACGUAGGCGGCUUUGCAAGUCAGAGGUGAAAGCCCGGGGCUCAACCCCGGAAUUGCCUUUGAGACUGCAUCGCUAGAAUUGUGGAGAGGUAAGUGGAAUUCCGAGUGUAGAGGUGAAAUUCGUAGAUAUUCGGAAGAACACCAGUGGCGAAGGCGACUUACUGGACACAUAUUGACGCUGAGGUGCGAAAGCGUGGGGAGCAAACAGG
rnacentral:rRNA from 1 species